rnacentral:rRNA from 1 species
CGGCGCAGGGUGAGUCGGCCCCUAAGGCGAGGCCGAAAGGCGUAGUCGAUGGGAAGCAGGUUAACAUUCCUGCACCGAUCGGAGCUGCGAUGGGGUGACGAAGAAGGCUAGGCUGGCCUGGCGAUGGUGUCCAUUUUCGGAUGGCGGCCAGGUUUAAGCACGUAGGCUGGGGUCUUAGGCAAAUCCGGGACCUCAAGGCUGAGAUGUGAUGACGAACCGCUCCUAUACGAGCGGGAAGUGGUUGAUGCCCUGCUUCCAGGAAAAACCUCUAAGCUUUAAGGCUGCGAACGACCGUACCCUAAACCGACACAGGUGGUCGGGUAGAGAAUACCAAGGCGCUUGAGAGAACUCGGGUGAAGGAACUAGGCAAAAUGGCACCGUAACUUCGGGAGAAGGUGCGCCGCCGGCGGUGACGGGACUUGCUCCCUGAGCGGCAGGCGGUCGAAGAUACCAGGUGGCUGCGACUGUUUAUUAAAAACACAGCACUCUGCAAACUCGUAAGAGGACGUAUAGGGUGUGACGCCUGCCCGGUGCCGGAAGGUUAAUUGAUUGGGUUAGCGCUCGGACUUGUCCGUUCGCGAAGCUCAUGAUCGAAGCCCCGGUAAACGGCGGCCGUAACUAUAACGGUCCUAAGGUAGCGAAAUUCCUUGUCGGGUAAGUUCCGACCUGCACGAAUGGCGUAACGAUGGCCACACUGUCUCCACCCGAGACUCAGUGAAAUUGAAAUCGCGGUGAAGAUGCCGUGUACCCGCGGCUAGACGGAAAGACCCCGUGAACCUUUACUAUAGCUUCGCACUGGACUUUGACUUGGUUUGUGUAGGAUAGGUGGGAGACUUUGAAGCGGAGGCGCUAGCCUUCGUGGAGUCGUCCUUGAAAUACCACCCUGGCCAAUUUGGGGUUCUAACUCAGGUCCAUGAUCUGGAUCGAGGACAGUGUGUGGUGGGUAGUUUGACUGGGGCGGUCUCCUCCCAAAGAGUAACGGAGGAGCACGAAGGUACACUCAGCAUGGUCGGAAAUCAUGCAGUGCGUGUAAAGGCAGAAGUGUGCUUGACUGCGAGGCUGACGGGCCGAGCAGGGUCGAAAGACGGUCUUAGUGAUCCGGUGGUUCUGUAUGGAAGGGCCAUCGCUCAACGGAUAAAAGGUACUCCGGGGAUAACAGGCUGAUACCGCCCAAGAGUUCACAUCGACGGCGGUGUUUGGCACCUCGAUGUCGGCUCAUCACAUCCUGGGGCUGUAGCCGGUCCCAAGGGUAUGGCUGUUCGCCAUUUAAAGUGGUACGCGAGCUGGGUUUAGAACGUCGUGAGACAGUUCGGUCCCUAUCUGCCGUGGGCGUUGGAAACUUGAGGGGAGCUUCUCCUAGUACGAGAGGACCGGAGUGGACGUACCUCUGGUGUUCCGGUUGUCACGCCAGUGGCAUUGCCGGGUAGCUAUGUUCGGACGGGAUAACCGCUGAAAGCAUCUAAGCGGGAAGCCCACCUCAAGAUGAGAUCUCACCAAAUCAUUCCGAUUUCUGAAGGGCCCUCGAAGACUACGAGGUUGAUAGGCAGGGUGUGUAAGCGCUGCGAGGCGUUGAGCUAACCUGUACUAAUUGCCCGUGCGGCUUGACCAUAUAA